rnacentral:tRNA from 1 species
GACAAUAUAGUUUAGCAGGUUAUAACAUUGGAAUCAUAAUCCAGAUGUCAAAGGUUCAAUUCCUUUUAUUGUCA